rnacentral:rRNA from 1 species
UACGGGGGGGGUAAGCGUUGUUCGGAAUUACUGGGCGUAAAGGGCUCGUAGGCGGCCAACUAAGUCAGACGUGAAAUCCCUCAGCUUAACUGGGGAACUGCGUCUGAUACUGGAUGGCUUGGAUUCGGGAGAGGAAUGCGGAAUUCCAGGUGUAGCGGUGAAAUGCGUAGAUAUCUGGAGGAACACCGGUGGCGAAGGCGGCAUUCUGGACCGACAUUGACGCUGAGGAGCGAAAGCCAGGGGAGCAAAGCGGGG